rnacentral:lncRNA from 1 species
UGCCAUCAAGGUGAUUAUCAUCUUUUUCUCCUUUCUAUUUUCAGUUUAUAUUACAAGCCUUGUACUAUGUUACAUAGGGAAUGUUGAAGAAAAAGCCUAAGAAAACAGCUUGAGUUAAGAGGGUUCAGGCGGGAAGUGCUAAUAGGCCUCAAAAGGACUGGGGAGAAGAGACACCGAGACAGAAAAUCAACAGCUACCAGCUA